rnacentral:lncRNA from 1 species
GAUAAACAAAAAUAAUUCUGCAGAAAUAGCUAAGGAUUUUAACUAUAUUUUCAUUGAUAAUUCUUCUUAUCAAGGUACAAUAAUUGGUUUAAAAUAUAAGGUUUUCAGAAAUUGUUCCAAAGUAUAACUAGGAAAAAUUCUAAAAAAUAUAGAUGCUUCAACAGAGAGGAAGAACACAUUGGGGAUCCAAAAAAGAAGAAAAAAAAUCAUCUCUGGGUAAGACAAAGUCUUUAUAUUCUAAAUUUUAAUGAUAAAAAUAUUUUUCUAAAUAGAAAGAUCUUUAUGUCAUUAUCUAACCAGAUGAUCUAAAAAAUUAGAACAAUUAAAAAAGAGAUUUAUAUAUACUGGACUGAGUAUAAAAAUUUUAACUGAUUAAUUCAAGGAUAUUUCAGGCUAUUUUCCUAAUUUGACUAUACUGAUGUGAGCUAAGAUUUUGUCCAUAUUUUGACAUGAUAAAAACCUAUUAAAAUGUUAAGUGUAUUUAUUUUUAAAAAGGUCUUUAUUGCCUAAUGAUUCUUGCUGUUUAAAACCAAGGUGAAUUUUGGUAAAUAAAUUCACAUCGUUGAUUAAACACUAAGUAUAUUAAACUACCAACUUGGAUCCCAAUGUUGACAAUUGUCCUUAGAGACUAAAUUUGAUUGAUUCAAAAUCACUGUUGAUUCUUACAUUUUGUUUGUUAGAUAAUUAUAAAAUUUGAGAAAACAUUUUAUUAGGAUUGAGGUUCUCCAAAUUAAAGUCGUAUGUUAAUUUUGAGCAAUAAAGGUUACAAACUUUAAAAAUUCAUUGAUAUUAUAUAAGUUAUCUGGCUGGACCUAUUGUCUAUUAAAAUAUGGUAAGAUUUAUAUACUGCUCCCUACACUGGGAAAUAACUUCAAUCAUAUUUUUUUAAAGGCAAUUGAAAGAUAUCUCUUUAAAGGAUAAUAUUCUAAAAUAUAGAGAUAUUUUGAGACCUUCUCAAAAAGAGAUUGAGAGUUCUUUCUAAAUUGUUAGAAUGGAUCAACUAGUCUAUAUUGAAAAAGUACAAAAAUCAAUUAUUAUCAUUUAAAUACUUGUACUAUAAUAUAUAACUCAAACUGAUGAUACUAUGGCUUACACCAAGCCUUUACUCAAUUUUAUUAAAUAAAGAAAAGGGGAAUACAGGACCCCAGAGACACACACUAGAUUUUACAAAAUAUUUUAAAAUUUUUUUUCUUAAGUUGUAAUAUUGAGAGUCUUAAUGUUACUAAACACAAUUCAGUAAAUUAAAUCAGCUAUCAAAGGAGAGUUUAAACCAGUCAUCAUGAUAAGGACUGAGAAACCUGGCCCAGGAAAGUAAAUUUCCAGCUACAGAGUUUACAACCAUUUGUAAACUUGUCAAGUAAGUAAAAAUUAUGAAAAGACUUGUAUGGACCCAUUUCCCAGGUCCACCUUUAAUGUACAUUUCAGUGUAGACUAGAGGGUCCACUCAUAUAACUAGAUUAAUUGUACUGACUGUAAUGGUCAAUUAUAUAUUGAUUCUAUGGUAAACAGACUGAGAGUAUCUCUUGAGAGAAAGACAGUGUUGGAAUAAUGGAUUGUUCCGCAUCCAUAUGGAUGGCAGCUAUGGACCAGAUGUGAGUAACACCAACUAAGGGCCAGUUCUGUGAGGGAUCGUGCUCUGAGUCUUAGUACUGCUCUCUUCAUCUAUCUAUGUCUCUCGGCUUUGUCACUAUAUUACUGUUUGUCUGUCGAUGGCCUGUCUCCUUCCUUCCUGAACGCAGCCUCGCCAGUCCAGUGCUGUGAGCUGGGCCCUCCAUGGAGAAGGAACCUGAGUUUGCUGAUCCUAAGGGAAAUGCUGUUGUGGAGGCCACGGGGGCAUUAUCUAUCAAGGAGACAGAGAGCCCUCUCGGGGACAAUGCCUUGCACACUCCACAUCACCCUGUUUGGCCCCGGAGGAUGGCUGGUUAGUCAAAUAUGGGUAAGAUUCCUCAAGGGAGGGACAACCUAAGACAGGCCCAGCCGCAGAGGGGCCAUCAGAGGCACAGAACUUCACCCCCACCAACCUUGGAAAAGGCCUAAUUCUUCACCCCUUCUGAGAGGUCUCCUGCCCCAUGGCUGCUUUGCUCCCCAUGUCCACCUCAGAUCAGAACCCAAGUGACAGACAGAGACCUAGUCAACAGCGACUGCCUGCUCCCCACAGCAGGAGACAACUGCAGCUACAGGGAUGGGCCGUGUCUGGGUGCUUUUCUCUUUCUUGGUUCUUCUCAUUUUUUAAUGCUUUUCCCUUUUCCUUUCUUCUCUCAUCAGGGUUCUCCUUCAGCAACAAAUUUAAUAAAAGGGGAGGAGGUGUUGGAAAAACUUCCAGUUACAACUAGCAGCUACGAGCAGCUUGCAGUGCUUGAGGAAUCCGCAUUCCUUCAGGCCUGACAGGAACACCUGCAGGAUGGGGUGCUCUGCUCUAGGAGCCGUCCAUGAAACCACAUCCUCCGCACUGUGGUUAGCAUUGCCAAACUACCAGGCCAGGAAACCGAGUCAGGGGCUGCAGGGCAUGAAAUCCCUGACUCAAUAAGCCCUUCUCUUAGGGCCAAAGACCCUUUCAGAUUGCUUUCCACCACGACAGCAAUAUUUAGAGUUUCCUCACAGUGUGGUUACAUUAGGCAGAAGAUGAUUGGCUUAUGGAUAUUGUCUUGCUUAUGUAUGAUUGACAGGCACGUCCCACUCAAACCCUAUAACAGUUGUGUGCAUUCCAAAAAGAAACUGAGCUACUGGAGUCGAGUUGAGGUUUGUCACCAGUCAGUUCUCACCAGCUCCCGGAGUCUGUGUGUUGAGUCCGAAUGUCUCUUACCCCCCCACACCCCUGCGACUAAGUUAGCCAAGCAACUAAUUCACCACACCAGUGACAGGAACAUAUGCAAGACAGCAUAUGAGAAACCUAAACCAGCCAAUUAUGCUGGUCUUUAAUGAUACAGUAUAUAUGAACAAUUGUCAGAAAGAUUAUUAAAAUAGAUUUUCCAAGAGUAUUUACAUUACUGACAGACCUAAUAGACUCCUUAAAUGUGAGAAUUAAGAAAAAAGAUGAUAAAUAUCUUGUAACCUGUAAAAAUACAACUUAUUGUAUCAUUAGUUUAUUGCCAGCUAAUAUUUCAGAGCUAUGAUAUGCUGAGGUUAAUAUUCAGGCUUUAAAACAGGUGUAUGUCAAUUAACCAGACCUAAGCAAACUGCUGGUCUCAUAAUCCCUAAAGUGACUACUUUAAAUAUUAUUCCUUGCUUAUUCAAUUGUAGCCUUUGUGGCUAUACCUUAAAAUUUACAAUGUAUGGAUUUUCUUAAUGUUUGACUUAAAUUACUUCCAAAAUCCUUCAUGGUCAGAUAAGCUGAUGGAAGGAUGAGAACUAAGUUAUAAUGCUCUAGAAGACAAUGUAAUAAAUAAUGUGAAUGAGCCCUCUGCUAAUGAAAAUGUCUAUGUUACUAUGGCCAAAUGCAAUGCCUCCCAAUAAAAUUGGAAAAAG